GGAUGACUCUGUGACAUAUUUUCAAGGUAGAGCCAGUAGGAUUUCCUGACAGAUUGGAUGUCGGGGGAGAGAAACUCAGUCAGCCAAACGCGCCUGCAAGAGACGUCGUCUUAACAAUUCCUUCAAGUGUCACCAUCUCCUUCCAGAUCAGUGGUUCUUCACUGCUGCUCCCAGACCCCACUUUUCCUGAAUUCUGGAGACCUUUGAGAAUCUGAUAAGAGCGAUGGAUUUUCUCCCUGAAACAAUUCACCCUGUGCAUAUACACAAAUGAUUUUGUCUGUCAUUUUGGAGGAUCGCGGACACUGGGGAUCCCUCUGCGAGUCCGGGUGAAGAACAUGAGGCUUGGAGAAGUGAGCAAGACCUAGAAGCCAGAUGUGGCUGGCUCCAAGUCCACCUUCUCCCAUUCACUAGGCAGCCUCUCUAACUGCCUUCGUGCUCAUCCAAGAGAAAAACAAUUAGCCGUGCUUUGUCUUGAAAGAAGACAUGGGUAGAAGCCUUGAAAAAACCCUGCUCCUGCCUUUGACCCCUGAGUUCCUGGGUGCACUCUAAGCUCUGAGGUCUCAGGACAGGGGCAUCCCUCCCCCGCUCCCUCUUCAAGUCCGACGGUGUUUUCACCACAGCUGUGACGUUGACUUAUUUCAAAAAAACAUUAUUUUAAGCAUUCAGCAAUGGCAAAAGAAAACCUUGUUUGGAAGCCAAAGUGCCCUUUUAAAUGACCCAUUAAUUGGAUCAAAGCUUCCCUCAAUGCAAGGAUAAUUGCUUGUAACUGGCUAAAGUCUAUGACCCAGAAUUGGAUUGACAAACAUCAGACACAACUCAGGGAGAAGAUUGGAGAUAAGCCGGCACCUGAAGAGGUUCAAAGGAAUAUCCAGUUGUUCAAAUCAAGCCAGGAGGGGUUGACAUCUCCCCACUGCCUGAGAGACGAUAGGUCAGAACGAAUCCUGCUUUUCCAUUCAAGUCCUGAGCUGGUGAACGUGACCCCAUCAAGACCAGCCGGCCAGGAUGGGUCCAGAGGAGAACAUCUGCCUUUGCAUCCACUCUUUUCUGCAUGGGAAGAUCCAGCAGCAGUGGAAGUCCCAACCGAUAAAUCCCCACGAGUGGCAUUUCUGGGCCAGGAAGCCUAAUUGACGUCUCUGGAAUGGAUUUCCACUCUCGUCUCACCUAACCCCUCCGGUUUGUGGUUGAUUCGUCACUGGAGUGGGAUAGAAGGAAAGAGGGAGAGGCAAUCAGAGCUCCUGGAGUUCUUCUGAAGCCAAGCUGUCUUAGAUGCGGGAGACCGUGGGCACCAGACAGCUGUGUGAGGAGCGAUGGUCCUGAGAGACUGGGGAGAGAGACUCCAGGGCAGGAAGGACACAGAGACAACCAUGGUCUCUGAAUUAUUCAGGAGAAGCCAGCUGCAACCAGACAGCCCCAAACUUUUAACAUCACAAGAAAGCAAUGGAGGUUCAAGCAGCAGAGCGCCCUGAGCUGGCUGAAGUUCCUAAAGGGCUGCCCUGGCUCCUGUGCAGAGGAUGGAGUGUGAGGGGAGAGAGAGGAAGUAGACUAACAGAAAAAGGAUGCUGGCUUGGACCUGGAGGCGGCAGUAGAAAUGCCCGUUUAAAGUUGGAGUAUUAAUGUGAACAGACCCGGGAUGGAAUUUGGAUUCCUCAUGCUUGUGACCAGAACUGGAAGGCCGGGAUGUGCCCCUGCUUUGGAGAGUGACAGAGUGGAUGUUCAGGUCAUCUGUUCCUGGCAGAAGCUUCUCCAGACUCAAGCUCGUGGCAGGGACUGGCCUCCCUCGCAGCUCUCUUGCUCUGGCAACAUCAAGAUGCCCACAGCUGGUCUUUUGUGAACCACACCGCUCAGUGAGCCUUGGCUGAUCCAAAAACCUGGUGUCAUUCGUUGACACUGAGGUCCUGAGCCCUGGUGUCUGGGCACACCUUCUCUGCCCUGCUCGCUCCCCACCUCGAGUGAGCUUUAAGAAAGAUUCUCGGGGGCAGACUGCCUCCGGCAAUGUGGUGAAGCUCUUCCCUUUCCAUCAGACCCUUCCUAGCACAGGGAAAAACUCAGCUCCCUCAAGGAGGACUGGAAAUGUCACCUAAAUUGACAGCCCCAUGCAGACAUGUAAGGUUUACGUGGUAGUCACUUUGAGUUUGUAAAAGCAAGCAUUCCUCUGCUGGGAGGAGGAAGUGGGAAGCCCGGCUGCACCUUCUCCCUGAGAUGAAUGACUGGGAGAUGUCGCAACAAACCUCAGCCCCUUCUGGGAAAGGGCGCGCUGUUUGUCUUCAGCGCCGCCAGCCCAGGGGGUGGUGGGGAUACGGAGGGAGCUCCACGCCCUUUCCGCAGAGCUCCUGUCAGGUUCCAGCCUGCAGGGCCAGAGUAGGCUGCUGGACAGAAAGAAAUGUGACUUUUCAGCAUGGGCUUCUGGCCAGCAGGGUCACCUUGCACAUCCUUUGAGGCUUGGUUCUUUGGUCUUUGCAGCUGAGCCAAAUGGCAGUGCCAGGCAGAAGGCGCUGCCCUCUGGUGUGUGGAUGCUCCUGUCAGUCAAGGCCAAAGAGACUCCAGCUGCAGUUUCUGAUGAAAGGCGCCUUGCAGCCCUGGCGCUUGGCAUUCUGCAUGGGGCUCCAGUGUGACUGGGAGGGGCCUCCCUCUGCAGCUGGAGCAAAGUCUCACUCCGAACGAGAUCUAUGGGGGCUGGGGGUGGAGAUGAGCAUGACAAAAGAAGGAAAUCACAGUUGUGUGUAUUCUGUCCCCACUCGGAAACGGGUGACGCAUCGAUAGGACACUUUCCUGCAAUUCCCUCUUCUCACUCACAAAGAUUUGAAUGACUGAACAACAACAACAAAAAGCAUAGAAGACAGAAAAGAAAAGGGAAUAAAGGACAACAGUACUUUUGGCCAUUCUCCUCUUUGGGAGGUUAGCUCUAGUUACAUACUCUAGAAAACUCGGUCUAUGCCCUGCCGACACAAUGGGCUAAAAGUGAACGAAACAUCCAGAUCCCCCCACUCCCCAGUGAGUGUGUGUGUGUGUGUGUGUGUGUGAAUGUGUGUGUGAAUGUCUGUGUGAAUGAAUGAGUUCCAAUAGGCCAAUGGCCAGUUUUGUUUUGGUAAAAAAGAAAAGAAAGUACCUCACACACGAAGCUGAAUUGAUUAUAAAUGCCUCAUCUGUUCCUGAACGCAGAUUUCAGAACCAGACAGGAGUGGAUCCAAAUUCCUCCUGAGAACCGUGGCAGCUCCAUGAUUUGGCUAACUCACAAAACCUCCUUAAGGCUCAGGUGAGAAUUCCUCAGCUUUCAAAUCGGACUCACAAGCCUGCUUCAUGUGGAUGCAGACAAUUAGACGAGCUAGUGCAUGUAAAAGUACCCCAGCUCAGGGAGGACCACGUGCGGGUAAGUCUGGAGAGAGGCAGGGACUGAAUCUGGCAGCCUUGGAAGCCAUAAGAAGUAUCUUGUCUUUACUCUAGAGCAAUGGAAAAUGAAAGAAGGUUUAAACAAGGUAGUGACUAAUGGCUGCAGCAUGGAGAAGGCAUUGUCAGGAGAGGGAAGGGUCAGGGAAGGGGAGAGCAGUAGACCACUGCAGCAGCUCGAGUGACUUCAGACAUUUCCUGGGCCUUGACCCUCUGAUUUCUGGGCUCUGGGCACUAUACCUGCUUCAGAUUCCAUAAAGGUUCUUUGGCCUUCAAGUUCUUAAUGUUGGACCCACCAUUGUUAAUAAGUUUAUACCUUGAGUCAAAGGUAGCUUUGGUUUUGUUUUGUCAAAUCAAUAUUCACGAAGUACCUAUCACCUGCUAGGAACACUACUGGCUGAUUAUAGAGUUUAGUGUGGGAUGGCAAGUAGGUUCCAACUACUCACUGGUAGGCCCUGUGUAGAAAGGAUUCUAGGGCCCCACAGUUAAGAGAGGCAGGAUUAAUUAGUCACAUCUGCUGUGGGUGAGGGGAAUGCUGGCAGCACGUUUGUCACAUAUUUGCCAUCGCUGGCCCAGUGGCUCCCAGCACUUAUACUCCACCUUAGCUUGAUCCAGGCUCUGCUCGGACCGUUUUGUCUUCAGACAUUCCCACUAGUCUGGACACGGUAGGAGACAUCGGCAGUCGUUUCCAGCCCAGGAACUAUUGGAAAGAAGGCAUUCUUUUGCCAUUGGGACUGCUAUACUCAGUAUGUGAGCUGACGGGGACCUCCGUGUGGAGAGAGCAUGCCUGAUGACGCAUACAGAGGACAGCGGCGUUGAGGGAAGAAGGGGCUGAACAGGAGUAAUAGUUUGAAGGCCUGGAUCUAGCAAUGCUGGAAGCUCCCAUCCAGGGGAGAGGCAUAGAUGUGUGCCCACAGCUGGGGCGAAUUCGUAUGUCCUGGAGAGGCCUGAAACUUGUUCCAACGAGUAACCACAUACAGAGUGUAGCAAUGGUCGGAGCAAGGUGGUUGAGUAAACAACUGACAACCAAAAUGGGCUGUGGACAUGUGAGUGUUCCUUGGCAGAUUUUCAGAAAAAGUUAGGAAAAGGAACCCCCAAAGACUUAACUUUCUAUCACAUCAGAUGGGUGCUUGGAUUGUUGUUUUUUGGGAUAGGAAAGAGAAGGGUGAUGUAUAAUUCUGGUCUGGGGCAGCUAACAGCAGGUGUGUCUUCCCACACUCUUUCUUACCCAAUCAUAGGGCUCGAAGUAAAGGGCUUUGGGGAUGAAAAGUUACAAGAUAGAAGGCUUCUGGAUUCCUGGGUCAUCCUUUGGAGGAGAGCUGCUCAGGAGAGUCACCCGACGUAUCCAGCUGUGAUGGGAAACCAACUUUGUGUGCUACACCACUGAGUGUUUGAGCUUUGUUUGUUAUCUUAGCUUAUCCUGUAUUAACACGUUUACACUUAGUGUCCAGAAAGGGCUAAAAUUCCAUCACCCCAGGGUUUAGAAAGGAUCAUCUAUAUAUUACCUAUCAAAAAAUCUCUACCAGGGGCCGGCCCGGUGGCGCAGCAGUUAAGUUUGCACGUUCCACUUUGGUGGCCUGGGGUUUGCCGGUUCAGAUCCCAGCUACGGACAUGGCACCGCUUGGCAAGCCAUGCUGUAGUAGGCGUCCCACAUAUAAAGUAGAGGAACAUGGGCAUGGAUGUUAGCUCAGGGCCAGUCUUCCUCAGCAUAAAGAGUGGCAGCAGAUGUUAGCUCAAGGCUAAUCUUCCUCAAAAAAAAAAAAAAUCUCCACCACUUAUUUGCUCACACAAAGUUCAUUUUGCCGAUGGUGAUGCAAGGUUAAACGAGGCCAAGAGUUUGGUGAGAUGAAUGCUUUCACGUGUUGCUUACACUGUAAAUUGCUGGAAGGUUUUGGAAGGCAAUAUUUAUCAAUUGUCAUAAAAUAUUUGUACCCUUCAAGCGAGUAGUUCCAUUCCUAGGAAACUAGCUCAAGGAAACUACGAGAAAUGUGUGUAAAAAAUACGUACAAGCCCAUUUAUGGUCAUCGUGGAAACAACAUAACUUUUCAACAACAUCAGGAUGGCGGGAAAUUAUGGUACCUGCAUGAAUGGGAUAUCAUGUGUCAAUUACGUUUGUGUUUAUGAAGACAUCUUAAUGGCAUGGGCAAAUGUUUAUGUUAGAAUGUUAGUGAAUAUCAGGAACUAGAACUACGUAAAACCCUACUUACUCUGUAUAUAUAUUUAUAGGAAGAAAGCUUGGAAGAAAAUGCACCCAAUUGAACAGUUAAUAGUGGGUUUUGUCUUCCUGAUGGAAUUG
ensembl:lncRNA